UGAUUGGCUACUAUGGAGCCAUAACAGCUGAAGGAGGGAAAAGCAGCUGGAGAGUGAAGCUGCAGGAGAGCUAUAUCAGCCUAAAGGGUCAGAGACUCAGCCCCUGCUUCCCCCCCCCCCCCCGGCAGAGGAAACAGUGCUGACUGAGGCUUGCUGGGGAGCAAACUUUAGGAUAGAGGAAAGCCUGAGUCAUCCAAGGAGAAGCUUAUUCCGCACCCAGUUGUGGCAGGAAAGUUUGGAGGGGAACCGAGGCAGAUCCAGCUGCCCUCCUACAAAAUUUGGUGCAUUGGCCAGGAACCCUUAAGAAACCUGAGGGGCCAUGGAGUCCAUGGAUAUGCAAGCUCUGACCGACUGGCAGCAGGCACACACCUUCACCCUAUGACUCCUACAGGGGCAACAAGCCCAGUUAGAGGUACAUACUCAAGAAACUGAGGCAUGGAUCUGGCUAUAUUCUCAUCAGCAGGACCUGAGAGGUCUCUGGGCUUAGCUGAGACACUCCCUUGCCCCUUGCUCCUAGGGGUUGACUGGCCCCACCUGGAAGAGAUAGUCACCCAGAUCUUGGCAAAGAAAGGAGGCGAGUGGGAGAAGGACCCAGGAGUGGUGUGCUCCAGGACCCUGGAGGAGGAAGAGGGAGCAGACCUAGACAUGGAACAAAUGAUAGGAGAUGGAUACUUCAGGGAGGAACAGAGACAAGAACCCCUGUUCCAAAACUGUCCCAACUGGCCAAGGAUGAGGGCGAGGUGGUGGACCCCGGGGAGACAAGGUGGAGCCCGUGGUUCGAGGGUUACCCAGAGAAGCCUAAGGAGUAGAGCACCAGAUCCAGACACUACCGGGGUGCAUUGUUCGCAACCACUGGAGAAGGCUACCUUGACACUUGUGGCUUGCAGUUGGACAGAAAAUUGACCAGAUGAAAAGAUAAGGGAUCAUUGAAGAAUCCAGGAGCCCCUGGAGGAGCCCAAUGGUGGUGGUCCUAAAGAUGGAUGGCUCGAUAUGCCUAUGCAUCGACUACCACAAGGUGAAUGAGAUUGGCAUUGGGAAAGCAUCAAAUGUUGCACAGGUGGACAACAUGCUGGAAAAAGUUGACUAGGCCUAGUAUAUCUCUACUCUAGACCUGACCAAGGGCUAUUGGCAGAUCCCUAUGGCAGUAGCAGACAAAGAAAAGAUGGCUUUUGGGACCCCGUGGGGCCUGUUCCAAUUUAAAUAAAUGCCAUUUGGGCUACACAGAGUGGCCACCUCCUUCCAGUGAUUGAUGGACUGGUUACUAGCACCACGCCAAGAAUAUGCCGCUGCAUACAUCAAUAUCAUUUUCUCACAAGACUGGAAAACUCACCGCCAACAUCUACGGAAAGUCCAGGAAGAACUCCGAUGGGCCGGACUGAUGGCCAACCCCUGGAAAUGUGCACUAGGAAAAAGGGAAACAGUACCUAGGCUUUAUGGUAGGACAAGGUAGUGUAAGACCAGUGGCAGACAAAGUGGUGGCAAUUUGGCAACACCCCCUUCCCUGAACACUAAAACAAUUACGAUCAUUCCUUGGCUUUGUCAAUUACUACAGGUGGUUUAUCCAGGGUUUCUUGGAGAAGGUGGCACCCCUGACGGAACUGACUAAGAGCCAAAGGAACUCAGUCAAGUGGAACCCAAGGGCCCUCCAAGCCUUCGAGCAGGUCAAGGAGGCCCUAUGCCAACACCUGGUCUUGUAUGCCCUGAACUUCAAGAAAACCUUCUUCCUGCAAACAGAUGUAUAGGGCACCACCUUAGGAAUGAUCCUCUUCCAAGAGAAAGUGUGGGGGAGACAAGCCUAUAGCCUUCACCAGUAAAAAGCUAACCCUGGAGGAGACCUGUUACUGCACCAGUGAGCGGGCCUGGCCAUCCGGUGGGGGUGGAACUUUUUUGCUAUUGCCUAAUAAGGCAGGAAUGUGUGCUAAUCACAGACCAUGUACCUCUACACUGGCUGCGAACAGCUAAGCUGGAUAACACCAGACUGAUGAAGUGGUCCCUUGCUUUACAGCUGUUUGUUUUUACAGUGAGACAUUGAGUAGAUAUGUAUAUUAGAUACAUAUGUAUCUAAUACAUCCUAAUUGCAGGUUGGCACCAAGCAAGGAGUCUGCCAAGAACCACAGUAUCUUUGUGUGGGGAGCAGCUCCCCAGGCCACUUACAAGCUUCUGAUGAUACAAUAUUCCAAAGACUGUUGCCUAGAUAGGCCUGGACAUGACCACAACACAGGUUCUUUCUUUUGGAGAGACAGCCUGGACCACUCUUCCCCAAAUCAAAUCCAAGGGUUCCUGGUGCUUAGCAAGAAAUUAGGAAAGCAUGGGCUGUGACCCCUUUUUGCAAAUUGUAUGUUAAGGGCCUGCCCUCUGUAGCAGAGUGUAACAGGGCACCACUCCAAGACCCUGUUACUGUUUGGGUCCAUCUGCCAGACCAGUGUCUUCCCAGAGACUGGGAGCAAGAAGCAAUGCAAGGCCCAUUUUAAGGUAGUCCAGAAAGGGGUCUUGUAAAUUUAUAAAGUUGAGCAACUUGGGGAGUAAGAAAAAUCUGCAAGUAUACCAAGUAAAGAAAUGGGUGGAGCUAGAGGGGUGGCCCCAUCUCCUAUGAACCUCAAGCUUGGGAGAUGUAAUAUGAGGGGGGAAGACAACACCCCAGGUUUUGGCAAGCAGUUUACAGAGAUUAAAACGGGCUAGCUGUGGUUGCUAAUAAGAGAUUUUGAAGAUGUGUUUAUUGAUGAGCCAGGAAAAGCCCAAUGGGUAAAACAGAAUAGUGAUGCCUCUGGGGUGUAUAGUGCAGGAGCACUGGAGGUGGCUGUGGAGACAUCUGUAUGGGCCAGUCAGACAAGUUGGAACAGAUGGCUAAGGGUUUUUUAAAGAAUCUCUCAGCCUGUGAUGAAGGCCAUUAGAAAUCAUUCCAAAGACUGAUGGGACCAUAUGAGUAUGUACUGACUUAUGGAAGGUCAAUGUAGGCUCCACCUUUGCUUGCCCCAGAUAGAAGAUAUGUUGGAGUGAAUUGGACAAGCCCACUUCAUAAUGAUGCUAGACCUUAUGAAGGGGUAUUGGAGAGUCCAGUGGCUGUGGAGAAUAAGUCCAAGAUGGCUUUUGGCACUCCUUAAGGUUUGUUCCAGUUUACUAGGAUGUUGUUUGGACUGCAUGGGGCCUCAGUGUUAAGUCAUGAAAUGGGAUCCAGGACUAGUGUAUAAAGGAUUGACAUAACUCGUUCUAUGAAUGACAGAAAGAUUUUAUUUACUACAAGUAUUCAUUGUUCAAUGAGCUUAAAGCAAAUCAAAUUCUAAUAUAUUUAGAUGUAAACGUGAUAGUAUUUCACCAAUGCAGGCAAACAGCAGUUUCAGUCUUGUAAGCUUCUCAAGGUAUGGUUCCAUUCACCAGAAGAUAAGCUGGAAGCAAUAGCAGUUCUUGUCAGAAUUUCUCAUUCUUGAAAUGCACCCUGCUAGCUGUUUUGUUUCUCUUCAAAUCCUUUAAGCUCAGCUUUUUCAAAGCAUUUUUGUAGCCAAGUAAAAGAAAAACCCAAGCAAUAACAAACAGGAAGGUCCUGUUUUCAACUGUU